rnacentral:rRNA from 1 species
UACGUAGGGGGGCGAGCGUUGUCCGGAUUUAUUGGGCGUAAAGAGCGCGUAGGCGGCCGUUCGCGUCGGAUGUGAAAGCUCGGGGCUCAACCCUGAGAGGCCAUUCGAUACGGGACGGCUAGAGGUAGGUAGGGGAGAUCGGAAUUCCUGGUGUAGCGGUGAAAUGCGCAGAUAUCAGGAGGAACACCGGUGGCGAAGGCGGAUCUCUGGGCCUUACCUGACGCUGAGGCGCGAAAGCUGGGGGGAGCAAACAGG